rnacentral:lncRNA from 10 species
UAAGAGACAUAGAUAAACUUAGAUAAUGAUUCUAAUUUUGCAACAAGGCAAUAGAGGUAAAUUAAUAAAAUAUGCAAACAAGAUCAUAUAAAUGUCAGGCAGUCCAGAGUAGAAGAGAAAGAGCUUAAAUCCAAAUUUGAGAGGUACGUAAUUCUGAGUAGAUUCUGAAGGGAGAGCAAAAGCUUAGAGAUUUAGGAUAUUAGCCCAUCUGGAGAUCAAGGUUUAAGUUAAAGAGGAAUGGAAGAUGAAGUUGGAUAGAUACAUUGGAUCCUUUGGGAUGACAAAUUAUUCUUUAUGAGUUAGACGCAGUGUCAAAGGAAGUACUGUCAACAGGAUGGAUGUAUACUGGCUAUCACAAGUAUCAACUUACACAUGGUGAGGAGGCAGAGGGGAAUCAACUAGUAUCUCAUCAUACCUUGAGUUCUAAUUUCCAUUCUUGAUCCUGUAACCAACUGAUACAUUCAAACUGAAUAAACAUUACAAAAAUCACUCAUAAUAGUAAAUCUAAAAAUCAGCAUCCAAACUAAUAAAAAUAACUGGUUUAUUUCAUCUUAAAAAUAAAGAAAAGAAACCUCUACAAAGUUAAAUACAGUAUAUUUUUGAUAAGCCUAAGUAUUUAGGGGCUUUAUAGAUUAGUUUUUGAUAAAUCAGAAAUACCAGUAUGCCUGUUUAAACAAAGCAAAGUGCUGUGGUUCUCUUAAUAUGCUAAAAUAGUGGCUUUAAAAAAUAUGUUAAAAUGGUCAUCUGAAUGCUUUCAUAAUAAUUCUAACAUUACUUUAUGGUUUAUCAUGUAUUUUUUCCUUGUUUCUUCCACCUGCAUUCACUUAUUUUCUCUACUUGAAUUAAAACCUCAGAAAAAAGAAAUCUGAACUUACAAAUUGGUUGAAUUCCAUAAAUUGACUUUUUUUUGGGAAAAGGGGAAGGGAAUGGUGGUAUGGAAAAAAAUGGUAAAGUGAUUGACUAAAUAACAAAUAUAAAUUACCUGACCUGCGAUAUUUGCAAAGACAGUGCAAGGCACAAACAUUCCUAUUAUGUUGAUUUCACAUGUGGAGAAUAGAAUCCCUUCAUAAUCCCAAAUGCUAAGAGAUCAAUGAGCAACUAUUAGCAAUAAACUGUGUAGUUCCUAGUGAAAGGUCCAAAGCUAAAAUUACUAAUCCAAAUGCUGAUAAGAGAAGAUGUUUGGGGUUUCAGUAAAUGUUUACAUGUGUCAGUGUUUUCUUGGAUCCUGUCUUUGCUAGUAUGACAUGUCUAUUUUUGGUCCCAUUAUACAGUGAUGUGGGACACACAGUGAUUUUCCAGCUCAUACUCUCGGAUUCUGGGCUGAGAUUUUGGGGCUGCCUCCUACGUAAGCCAACAAGGGCACACUGCAUAAGCUGAUGAGCAAUAAGUCCAGCACAUCCUGGGUAUCCUCGCACAAUCAUCCUUGAGCUAAGACCAGCCUCAUCAUCUGCUGAUCAGAUCUUAGCAUCUUCCGCACAGGUCGUGUCACCCUUCAAACAUAAGCUUUUCAUGAAUGAAGUCAGGAAGGGUCACUUAUAUAGAAGAAUUAUUUCCUACAUGGGUCCUCUCAGAUGCGUAAAGACAAAGACCUAGAGACAGCAGCUCGACGGAGAGGCGUGGUAUACAUGAACCUCGAGGGGUCUGUGUGGAUGAAUCGACUGGUACCACUGCGAGGAUAGCCAGCACCCAGGGAGGGAGCAUCUCCCGCCUGAAGUCGCGGACAUGCCUGGCCCAACCUCCAGGUCAUGGGGGUGGGUCGACUUGUCAAGUUGGGUAUGGUCCUUCCAUUAACUUCUGUUGUCACAGUGCUGUCAAAUGUUGUCUCCAGGGUGCUGUCAAAUAAAAUGGAGAAAUAACUAUACUCUGGUUCACUUAGGGCCAUAAUCUAGAAUGCAUGAAGACAGAAAAGGCUGGAGUUGAGGGUCAUCUCUUAUAAACACGUCAUCUUCCCGAAAGCUAAACUCUAUAUUCAUUUUGAGGUCAAAUUGUGGAAAGGGGCAUACAUUUUAUAGCUUUUCGUUUGUUUUCAAAAGAAAGGCCAUCAGUACACCUUGGGUAAAACAACAUAUUGUUUUACAUUUUCAACAAAUCCUUAACUCACUGUAACCUUCCCAGACCUAUUCUGAAAGUUAACUACAAUUAUGUUUGAAUGUCUCCCUACUACCCUGCCCAGAUGCAUUUCAAGUGCAACUUGUGCCACUGUUUUCUAGGACAGGUAUUACAAAUCCACUUAACAGUGAUGGUGGUAGUUGCAGUACUGGAAAUUAUACUGAAAAAGACAUAAAUAGCAGAUAGAGAUAGAGAUAAAAGAUAAAUAGGUAUAUACUGUGAAUUCUCAGUUUAAGGAUAAUUACCAAUCAAUUUGAUAUAAAACAAGGGAGAAAAUAGUAAGGGGAAACUGAAAUCCCAUCUCUGUCAUUAUAAGAAAAGUUAAAUGUUUGUUUGUAAUUAUUUUUUCUUUAUUGGCUCAAAUAUAUGCAAAAUUGAAAAAAACCUGUGGCUUAUCUGAGUCCCACGAAGACUGGACAUAGUCUCUUCUAAAUUCUGCCUCAAGUCUGCUAUGUUUUUAACUGUUCUCAUUCUUCUUGUUUCAGGGUCUUCACCUAGGAAAGCAAUAUGAUAAAUUUGCUAUUCAUGACAUUUAGUAUCCUCAAAAUAAUUGUAUACCUAGAUAAUUAAGUCACC